AGAUGCUGCCGGACCACCUGAGUGUUUACAACAUUUCCUGCUCUUAUUUCAAGAGAACCAAGGCCAAUUACAGGAAGCAUGGUGGCCUGGAAUUUUCUGCAAGUGGCAAGCAGCCCAUAAUUGCCACACCUGCACUUACCUUGAAGAAUUGUCCAGAGGAAAUUUCCUGAACAAAACAGAUGUGGUCAAUGAGGCUGAUCCAUCCAUUUGAACAGUAUUGUUGACCUUCAUUAAAAAGAUGCUGCCUGACCUGUUGGGUGUUUCCAGCAUUUUCUGUUUUUAUUUCUCAUUUCCUGAGAAUAAAACCAACAGAAUAAAAUGUUUUAUUUGCAGCUGGGGCCAAUGAAUUUAGGUGAAUUUAGACCCCAAUUCUGGUAUUUGAGUGGUCACUUCAAUCGAAAGUAAGGGCUAGAUCAUGCUUGUUUACACUGGCAGAUCUACAGGUCUAACCAAGCUCCAGGUUUCACUGCUGUAGCUGUCCUGCAACAAGGCCCCAACUCUAUCCGUGAUACCAAAGGUCUUUCCAACUGUCUCUACACAUGACUAACAAUUAAGGAUAUUUAAAAACAGUUGAAAUAUAAUUAAAUAAUUAAAAGCAUUAAAAUGUAUUCAAAUGAAUAAAAUUGCUUAAAAGACAUUUAUUAAUAUAAAUUAAUUAAACACAUUGGGCAGUUAGUAAAGCUGCUGCCUCACAGCUCCAGUGACCUGGGUUCAAUCCUGACCUUGGGAGCUGUCUGUGUGGAGUUUGCACGUUCCUCCUGUGACUGUGUGGGUUUCAUCCAGGUGCUCUGGUUUCUUCCCACAUCCCAAAGAUGUGCGGUUUGGUAGGUUAAUCGGCCGCUGUAAGGUUGUUCCCAUUGUGUCGGUAAGUGGUAAGGUCCAGGGAAAUUGUUGGGAAGGUAGGGGAAAUAAUGGGAUGAGUGUAAAUGGGUGGUUGAUAGUCGGCGCAGACUUGGUGAGCUGACACGACUGUUCCUGUGCUGCGUGACUCUACAAUUCCAUGAUAACUAUUAAGUGAACUACACAGAAGGUGAACGAGAACAUGAUAGAACGAUCAAGAAUGAGAGGACACAGGUUUAGGGUGAGGGGGAAAGAUUUAAUUGAAACCUGAGGGGCAACUUUUUCACCCAGAAGGUGGUCAGUAUAUGGAACGAGCUGCCAGAGGAAGUGGUUGAGGCAGGUACAUUAAGAACAUUUUAAAGGAACUUGGGCAGGUACAUGGAGAGGAAAGGUUUAGAGGGAUAAGGGCCAAACAUGGACAAAUGGGACUAGAUUAGAUGGGAAUCUUGGUCAGCACGGAACAGUUGGGUCGAGGGGCCUGCUUCCGUGCUGUGUGCCUCUAUGACUCUCUAUGACGCUUUGAAAGAAAAGUCAUUGACCUUUGCAAAUCGAGUUGGUGACCUAUUCAGAAUGAAAGGAGCCACAUCGCUGAUACCAUCCCUGGUAUAAGGGGCCAGAAGUGAACAGUAUCCAUGUUUCACAUUCUGAGGAAAUUUGUAUCCCUUGAGGUUACAACAAUAAAAAUCUCGUCUUUUUGUUUUAAUACCCUUCAGUGAGACUCUCACAAUAUAAACAUAGACAAUUCCUCUGCCCCCCACAGACGCUACUCGACCCGCUGAGGUCCUCCAGCAGGUUGUUUGGUGCUACAUUCAUUUCACAGAUGCUUGGUGCUAUGUUCUUCUGAAAUUUUGUUCCAAUCAAGCAGAAUUCAGGUGUGGAGUACAAUGUGCAUUUGUAUUAUAUUGUGUGUUUCGUACAAGCGACUGAGGGUGAAUUUCUAGUUGAAUGUGAACAUUUUGGCACUGUGGCAAAAUCUAUCAUCAAAGAUCCCCACCCUCCGGGCCUUGCCAUCUUCUCACAGCUGCCAUUGGGCAGGAGGUACAGAAGCCUGAAGUCCCACACCACCAGGUUCAAGAACAGCAGCUUCCCUUCAACCAUCCAGUUCUUGAACCAACCUGCAUAACCCUAAUCACUACCUCAGUGUAGCAACACAAUGACCACUUUGACCACUUUGCACUACAAUGGAAUUUGUCUUGUUUUGUUCUAAUUGUUUUCCUUCUUGUAAGAAUUACGUAAAUUUAUGUUUAAUUUAUGUUUUUCUUGU